rnacentral:ncRNA from 1 species
UAGUUUAUUAGUAAAAAUUUUUAUUUAAAAUAAAAAAAAUAAAAAAUAAAAAUUUGAUUUUGAUUUAAAUAAUAACGAUAAGGGAGGUUUAUAUAUAAAAAUUUUAUUCUUAUAAUUAAAAUUAAUUGUAUAUUUUAGGUAGUUUAUAAUAUUCAUAGUUAAUAUAAGUUAAUAGGGUUACUCUAGUAAGAUAGGUUAAAUUUGUGCCAGCAUCUGCGGUUAGACUAAAUAUUUAAGUUAUUAAUGUUAAGUUGAUUAAUUAUUAAAUAGAAAUUUGAAGUUAUUUGGGUGAAAUCUAAUAAGUUAAGUUAUAUUAUUACAGUGUUUAAUGAAAUUAUUAAAUAAAAAUAGGAUUAGAUACCCUAGUAUAUUUAAGAUAAUUAGCUUAGAGGAUUGUAGUUAAAAUUAAAAAAUUUGGCGGCUUUUAAUUAUUAGGGGAAUUUGCUAAUAAAUCGAUAAUCCUCGUUAUGUUAUGCUAAGGUUUUUUUUGUAUACCAUCGUCUAAGUGAUUUUUUAUAAAGUAAUUGCUAAAAUAAUAUUAAUAUGUUAGAUCAAGGUGCAGAUAUAGUUUGGGAGUAGUUAAUUACAAUAAAUGAGUUAUUAGACUACAAGAAGGUUAAAUUUUUCAAAGUAGGUGAAUUUAAUUGUAAUUAUUGAAUUAGUUUGAAUGGUUUAUUAAGAGUGUACAAAUCGCCCGUCAUUCUCUUUGAGACAAGUCGAAACAAAGUAGAGAUAUCUGAAGGUGUUUCU